CACAUUUAUAACAUAUAUUAAGGGAUUAACAGGUCAUCUAAAAACUAUUGAAACAUUUUUGCAGAUUUUUUUUUUAAAGAUUCUUGCAAUGUCUGCCCUUAGUAACAAGCUUCCAUACACAUUUUGACAUAUGAAAAAAAUGCAUUGAAUCAAGUUGAACAUUGUCUAGUAGUCUUACCGAUACACUCUCAGUUUAGCUAAGUAAGAAGAUAGUUAAUGACGCCAAAAAAAUAUGAAGAUGGUUAUGUAUUAUUUGAAGGAAAAAAUGCUUUCAAUAGUAAAGACUUAGUUAGUCACGUUCACAUAUCCUCUUUCAGUUAUUUGGUGUACUAGUGAACACUCUUUGAAAUUGUACCACUAACAUAUGUUUAGCUGUGUGGUAUUUAGUUUGUGAGCAAGUUUGUCUCAUUUACUGUUGGAGUGUAUAUAUUACAUACCUUGAUUACCUCUGCUCAUGAUUUAGGUGGAGCAGCUGUUCUGCCUAGGUCUGAAGACACGAAUGGAGUGCCACAAAGUUCUGGAGAUGUUUGACUGGAAUCUGGAGACUGCCAGCUCCCAUCUUCUGGAUUCCUACAGCUGUGGACAGCAAAAGUAUGGAAUUAUUAAAUUAAUAUUAAAUCUUUCUGCACAUUUGAAUGCAUAUUAGUCAGCUACAAUUAUCAUAAUGAUUAUUGUUUCGUAUUCUUAGAAUACAUUAACAAUAGGAAUAUUUUAUAUAUGCAUAAUUGCCAGAUUAAUCGAUUUAUAUCUGUGUUUUUGAUUUGCAGACGGUGAUGUAGCGCCUUUGGACAGUUGUCUGAAUCUAGAUAUGCUGCCAACCUGCACAACAUUUAGCUACAUGGACUCUUCUGCACAGUAGAUCCAUUGACUGGCAGGGUGGAACCACUUCUGUCUGUCUUGGGACCUGCCUGAACAAUGACUUUCUCCCGCUAGUGGGGAAUCCGUUAAACCAACCCAGUGUUUUGCUACAUGGACUUGUGUUAAUGUUGCAUUUUCUGUUUUAAUGUGUUGUUUUGCCCUAUUCAUGUCGUUCAUUUGUGUAACUCAUUGUUUUUAUAAAAAAAAUGUGUAAUUUUAAAAUAAAUAUAUAUAUAUAUAUAUAUAUAUAUAUAUAAAUAUAAGAUAUAAAG